rnacentral:rRNA from 1 species
GAACUUAAGCAUAUCAAUAAGGCGAGGAACAGAAACCAACUGGGAUUCCCCUAGUAGUGGCGAAUGAAGCGGGAAAAGCUCAAGUUUGAAAUCCGGCGGGCGACCUCCGGAGUUGUAAGCUGAUGAGGUAUCGAUCGACAUGGUCCGGGCCCAAUUUCCUUGGAACAGGAGGUCAUGGAGGGUGAGAACCCCGUCCGUGGCUCGGGUGCCAUUGUCCUUGUGUCGUGUCCUCUAAGAGUCGGGUUGUUUGGGAAUGCAGCUCAAAAUGGGUGGUAAAUUUCAUCUAAAGCUAAAUACUGGCGAGAGACCGAUAGCAAACAAGUAGAGUGAUCGAAAGAUGAAAAGUACUUUGAAAAGAGAGUGAAACAGUACGUGAAAUUGUUGAAAGGGAAGCGUUUGGCAUCAGCCCUUGGCGUCCGUCGAACAUCCAGGCUUCUGUCUGGUGCACUCGUCGGCCGUCGGGCCAGCGUCGGCUCUGCCUGUCGGAGAAAGGCCUGAGGGAUGUGGCUCACCUUCGGGGGAGCGUUAUAACCUCGGGCGUCAUGCGAUGUGGUGGGGCCGAGGUCCGCGGACUCUGUCCUAGGACGCUGGCGUAAUGGUUCCAAGCGACCCGUCUUGAAACACGGACCAAGGAGUCUAACAUCUAUGCGAGUGUUUGGGUGUCAAGCCCGUCCGCGCAAUGAAAGUGAAUGCAGGCGGGAGCCGUAAAAGGUGCACCGCCGACCGGUCCGGGGGUUUACCGAAGGAUCUGAGUAAGAGCAUAGCUGUUGGGACCCGAAA